rnacentral:lncRNA from 1 species
GAGGUCAGGAGAUUGAGACCAUCCUGGCUAACACGGUGAAACCCCGUCUCUACUAAAAAUACAAAAAAAUUAGCCGGGCGUGGCGGCGGGCGCCUGUAGUCCCAGCUACUUGGGAGGCUGAGGCAGGAGAAUGGUGCGAACCCGGGAGGCAGAUUUUGCAGAGAGCCGAGAUCGUGCCACUGCACUCCAGCCUGGGCGACAGAGCAAGACUCCGUCUCAAAACAAAAAACAAACAAACAAAUAUGGAGCAUUCUGAUAUGAAUAAGACACUUGCUCACUUCUCAAUUCCUUGGUGUCCAGCUCUACAAGUGUAUAUAGACUUCCAAAGAAUAUUUAAAUCCUUUAACAAAAAUGCCACCUAAGAAAAUAUGAAAUACUUCAGUCUGUCUGUCAGUGCUCACUUCCUGUCUAGAAACUUUCAGGCUCCGGCACAAAUGAACCAUGUUCUUCGCCUAAGUCAUUUAUGGAACAUCUGCUUUCGGUUUAGCAUCAGCUUUGUGACCUAGUAAUAUCUUUCUCGAGUGCAUGAAACAUCUCAGAAAUGCAAACAUCAAGGAAGAUACUAAUCCUUUCUUCCAGUUUCUGUGUGAGGGUUGGAGGCUGACUUUGGUGGUGAUCUUGCUCCAAAUUAUAGAACUACAUCCUGUCAUGAAGAGAAGUUUGUCUUCUCGAUAAAGCCAAGUAGCUAACAGAGAUGGUCACCCCAAUUACCAGAUGGACAUAAUUAUACUUGAAUGCUGACCUACAACAUUUUGUGCUGUGCAGAGGCUUUGAAAAUCAAACAACUUUGAAAAUACAAAGCACCGCGUGGAUGUAAGUUUAUUAAAUUUUGUUUUCAUCAACAUUCAA